UGAUGAAAGACGUGGCAAGCUGCGAUAAGCUUGGGGGAGCUGCAUGCAAGCUUUGAUCCCAAGAUUUCUGAAUUAUCCUGAGAAGGAAGAGCACGCCGGGAAUUGAAACAUCUUAGUACCGGCAGGAAAAGAAAAUAAAAAUGAUGCCCUUAUUAGCAGCGAGCGAAAAGGGCACA
rnacentral:rRNA from 1 species